rnacentral:lncRNA from 1 species
UGAUUGAUUACUUGAUUCAUUUAUACAUGAUUACUUGAUUGCCAUUGUGCAUUUACUAUCAUUGAUUGCCAUUGUGCAUUUUACCUUUGAUUGCCAUUAGUGCAUGUUCAUGUCAUUUGUCCUUGUGACAUUGUUUGCUUACCCAUUGAGGAACCAGUUAUAAGUCCCUGUAAGGUGGCAUCUGUUCCCAUGACAUGGAAGGGGUAGAGUGUAAGACCUCAUUGGUCACUC